CUGGACCCUUGUGGAUGAUGCUAGAGCUCUGAGAAGCAGCCUUGCACCUCUCUUACUCUCUCACUCUAGAAGUUUUCUCUCUCUACAUAGAAAUCAACGAUUUAGCUCGAUUUCGUCGCCUCGCUUGUUCUUCGCUGCUUGCGAGUGUCGCUGAGCCUUUGUGGAUGUGUGAGAGGGUAUUUUGGAAGGUUUUUCGCAGCACCAAACCAGUGGGUUGCUGGUUGGAAGCUUGGUAAGCUGAAGGAAAAGGGGAUUUGCUGCUGUAACAGGAUCAGAUAUUGUAGCUUAGCUCAGUUGAGACUGAGUUUAUGAUCUAAGGAGGUAAACUACUUUUUCUUCAUUGUUUGGGCAUGAAUUCGACGACAAAAGGCUGAUUUUGGGAUCGUGGCUCGCCGCAGGUUUCCGAAGUAAAUUGAGCUUAAUUGGUGACCUUUGGGACUGGUUUAGAAGGUGUUCUAACCUGAGCGAGGGUGCGACCGACCUUUGGAUCACCAUCAGUUGGCAUUGGAGAGCAAUUAGAAGCUUAACUUAAG